GGCGGUCUUUCAAGUCAGGAGUGAAAGGCUACGGCUCAACCGUAGUAAGCUCUUGAAACUGGGAGACUUGAGUGCAGGGGAGGAGAGUGGAAUUCCUAGUGUAGCGGUGAAAUGCGUAGAUAUUAGGGGGAACACCAGUUGCGAAGGCGGCUCUCUGGACUGUAACUGACGCUGAGGCACGAAAGCGUGGGGAGCAAACAGGAUUA
rnacentral:rRNA from 1 species